AGAGCAUAUAUUAAAGUUGUUGCAGUUAAAAAGCUCGUAGUUGGAUUUCUGGUUUAAUGCACCUGGCCCGCGGCCACUAGGCUUGUGAGUGCCGGCGCGCGUUUACCAUCCUUCUAGAAAACGAUUCUGCCAUUCACUUGGUUGGGAUCGCGAUCUAGAUCUUUUACUUUGAAAAAAUUAGAGUGUUUAAAGCAGGCUUUUGCUAUGAAUACAUUAGCAUGGAAUAAUAAUCUAGGACUUCGGUUCUAUUUUGUUGGUUUCUAUAACUGAAGUAAUGAUUGAUAGGGAUAGUUGGGGGUGCUAGUAUUGGCCGGCCAGAGGUGAAAUUCUUGGAUUCGGUCAAGACUAACUUAUG
rnacentral:rRNA from 1 species